rnacentral:lncRNA from 1 species
UAUUAUGGUUGGGAUUGGAAGGAGAUGUUCAGGCUUGGACACCUCUUUCAGAUGACUUUAGGGUUUAGUUAAAAUAGAUAGUUAGGAUGUGACAUAAGCAGAUUGUUGUAUCUUAUAUUUUACCUUUAUGAUUGUUAAUUUUGGAUACUUACACUGUUAAGUUUUAAUCUUCUUUUAGACUAAAAGGGGAAUUGUAGGGGAAGCUGUAGCCAUGCCUACUUAGGGGCUGGCUACAGGUGUGCCUGACCACGCUUUCGAGGGCGUGGUCAGGGUGAUGUAAAGCGAUACUUGCAAGGGACUGUAUUUCUCUUUCAGUUUCACUUUUGGGCUUGUGUACAGACCGCCGUGCCGGCUGGCUAGGUUGCUCUGAAAUGGGGCCAAGAAAAGCAGAACUACAGCUUCUAAGUACCGACUUUCUCUGCCCUAAGCGGAUUGAGACUUACUCCGGAAUAUGUGACCUUUCACCCUCAUUAUGAAGAAUGGAAUGAAAUCAUUUUCCAACUGAAUCAAAUCACUUAGAUGUGCCUAAGGAGGAACUCAGACUCUUAAACACCAUACGGUGCUGUUCAUGAUACAUGAUCUGUGUGUUAAUCAUUGGCUUCCUCUGGAAAGCACAUGUAGAAAAUGACCCUAACAACUCCUAUUGCUUUGUUUUCUCUACAUUGAUGCUCCUGAUAUUCCUCCCAUGCUGUAGAAACGUUGUGAAUUACCUAAGGAGAAAGAACCGGGUUGACAGAACAUUGUCAUUAACUGGAAAGUCCUCUAAAUUUUUCCCUCUUUCAUGAUUCUGGUUUUAGCUCAAACAAGCCUGAUGGUCUUUCAGAUAUGGAACAAGCCUGGAGGAAGAGACUGUGAGCCAUCAACUAGAGGAUUCUGAGGACAUGUAGCACCCGUGUACCCCUCCCUGGAACAAGUAUUAAUUUAAACCCUGGGGAGGAGGUCCUUGGACAGUGUUCCUAUUCACACAUGAAGUCACAUACAUCUUAUUCUACAUCAAGGAGUAUCAAUUCAAAUCUUGACCUAUUUGUGCCCCAUCUGUACUACCGUUUGAGACUAAUUUCUUCAAGUUUUGAUCAUCAUUGUGUAAUAUUUGACAAGUCUGGCUCCAGGCAAGCAUUCUGUGUGUGAUCUUUCAAGUAUAACCAUAGACGAUUAAAAGACUUUGGCCAACAGACCUUAUGACCACUGAACUUUAUGUACAGUGAGUGUUGUAC